rnacentral:rRNA from 1 species
UGGGGAAUUUUGGACAAUGGGCGAAAGCCUGAUCCAGCAAUGCCGCGUGUGUGAAGAAGGCCUUCGGGUUGUAAAGCACUUUUGUCCGGAAAGAAAUCCUUGGCUCUAAUACAGUCGGGGGAUGACGGUACCGGAAGAAUAAGCACCGGCUAACUACGUGCCAGCAGCCGCGGUAAUACGUAGGGUGCAAGCGUUAAUCGGAAUUACUGGGCGUAAAGCGUGCGCAGGCGGUUUGCUAAGACCGAUGUGAAAUCCCCGGGCUCAACCUGGGAACUGCAUUGGUGACUGGCAGGCUAGAGUAUGGCAGAGGGGGGUAGAAUUCCACGUGUAGCAGUGAAAUGCGUAGAGAUGUGGAGGAAUACCGAUGGCGAAGGCAGCCCCCUGGGCCAAUACUGACGCUCAUGCACGAAAAGCGUGGGGAGCAAAACAGGAUUAGAUACCCUGGUAGUCCACGCCCUAAACGAUGUCAACUAGUUGUUGGGGAUUCAUUUCCUUAGUAACGUAGCUAACGCGUGAAGUUGACCGCCUGGGGAGUACGGUCGCAAGAUUAAAACUUAAAGGAAUUG